AGGAGAAGAGAGAGAUAUUAAAAGCCCCGACCCAACCAACCAAGCCGCAUCAUCUUCCUCCUCCGCUGUCUCGAUCCAACCCAACCGCCGCCGACCUUCUCCAACCCCGGCCUCGUCCAUCGCCGGCGACCCUUCUCUCCCUCGCUCCCUCCACCUCCAGCAGCCGAUCCACACCCACUCCAGCGGCAGCUCAGGCCGCCGUCAGAUCCACCCUUCUCUUGUCUUGUCUUCUCUCUAGGUGAGGCACAUCAGCCAGCGACGGGACGACGAGGAGAGCAUCCUCCUUCUCCUGCCAGUGCCAUGGAAUGGAAGGUCUGGUUCAAAAUUUCUGUUUUUUUUUUGUUUGCUUUCUCCCCUUUCCGAUUCAAACAUGAGCAUGAGCAGAUUCACUAGCAUGCUGGCUGCGAUUAGGCAGAAUUACCCAAGCCACUGCCUUGUAAUCAGGCAGUCAAAUCAUCAUUAGGCGUUCCCCGUCCAUACGUACGUUUGAUUUGUUCACUGCUUGGUUGUAAGUGAGGUGUUUGGUUCACUGCUUGGUGGAUGGAUUCCCAGCCGCAUCAGAGGAGGAGGAGGAGCCUCUACUUUGCCUAGGUUAAUUGAACUUGCAGCAGGAACCCUCCAUGUACGACAGACAACGCCCUGCACAUGGUCAAGCUCGAUACAACAACAUGCCUUGGUUGCUGAUCGGUGUGGUGCCACCUUCCCGGCCAAGCGAGCUGCGGCGACGAACCGAGCAGCAGGAACCCUCCAUGGACGAGGGCGACCAUGACGCCCCGCACAUGUUUGAGCUCGAUGGAAGAACGUGCCUUGGUCGCUGCCACUGGUCUACUCAAGUGUGACGCCACCUCCCCGGCAAAGCGAGCUGCUGCUUCGCCACCCAGAGAGAAAUCUAGGUGCCUGACUCCAUGGACGAGGAGGACAGACCCUAGAGUCUGAAGACCUUGACCUCUAGCUCCGGAGCAGCGGCUCUGACGGUAUGGAGCAUGUUGCAGUGUGACUGGCGCCGUUGUGGAGUAGCAGUGGCCAGUUCCGCAACGAGACAUGGGCGUCCAGCCGACGGCCGUGACGGUGGUUUAAGGUGGGAAGGCAUCCCACCAAUCUGCUAGUGUCGUUUGGCACUGAUGUGGAGGACUGACGAAGGCGACUAUUGAAUGAUCUGUCAUCAAGAUGCUGAUUGGAACACCGCUUCAUGUCCGGGGUGAAAAUUCUUGUCUUGACCAUUAUUGGUCGGGCUCAGCAGCGAUGAGUGUAUACCUUCUUGAAGGCGCUGCUAUGGAAGAAGUCGACUUAGUCGUAUGUGUUAAUUUCAUAUCUUGUAAUGGUUCGGCCAUGAUUGCCUUCGUUUUGUACUCUGCUGAAUAAUUAAUAAAAAUGGUUGUAUGCAUCGCAUUGAUGCAGAGGCCGGGGGUUUUAACCUCCUUUUUGAAAAGAAAAAAAAUAUAGCAGAGAGUAACAAGAGGGCUGGAAUUCCAAAAACAGAGUAGUCUGCUUGCUUUUCCAAAAACAGAGUACUCUGCUUGCUUUUCCAAAACCAGAGUACGCGGUGAUUAGAUGAAAUUCGGAAGAAAAAGAAGGCAGAUGACGAUGCACAUGGUACAACUUAAUAAAUGAAGUGUUGCAUGACUAA